UUUCUAGUUCAGCAUCUCUGCAACAAGAAGGAAAGUUCUCCGAGGAUCAGUUUUUUUCUUUUAUAUUUAUAUAAUUAUAUAUUUCUAAAAGCAUCGAUAUUUUAUUAAUUAAAUAUUAUUACAAAUAUAACAAAUAUUAUUAUUAACAAACCGCGAAUUUUGUUUUCUUUCAAAAAGUAGUUAAAAUGAAUAGUUGCAUUUCGACCACGUGUUCAAUCCUAAUAUCGAUGCAUAUGCAAUUCUUAAUCGUUAAACAUCAAGAUUUAUAUAAAUUCUAUCAUUAUAAUACCUCCUGAAAAAAGGCAGCCGCAUGUUUACAGGGUAAUGAAUGUUCACUGCUUGCUUUGAACAAAGAUGCAGUAACACUGGAAAUCUGAACAAAAUUUUAUCAAAGAUUUCAAAAUGAUGACUUUGAUCUUUUUGAUAGAGAAUGUUCUGGAGAGCUGAGAAAAUUUGAAAGCGAAAAAAUCAACAAAAAGAAUUCGGCAGUUACCUGAAACGUGGGCUGAAGUCAUUGAAAAAAAUUAAGAUUAUUUCGAAAAAUAAUAGAUGUAUGAUUACUUUUAGAAAUAAAUACUAAAAUUUGUU